rnacentral:rRNA from 1 species
AUGGCAUUUCAGCAAGAGGCCGUAGGAAAGCUAUGGGAGGAGCUCGGCCACGGCUACAAUCUCAGCGCCAAGCUUCUGGCUUUGCUCAGCCAACCCGGUCACCUCCUCGAUAGCCAUGGCCAGGAGAUGGCUGUGGCCAUAAGCCAAGAGCUUUCUCAGGUGUUCAGGGCGUCUCUGUUGAUGCUCAACCCCGGCAACAGUGGUAGGGUGGUGGAAGGCAGGGCGACAGCGCCCGAGGCUGCGAUCAUGGAGGGUAGCAUCAGCCAGGCCACUCCGGCGAUCAUCAGUGGAGAAGAAGUUACUCCCCCAAGAAUAGGUAAAGAAGAGGAGAUUACAGCCGAGCCUUACAAGGAUGGUUACAAAUGGAAAAAAUAUGGGCAAAAGAACAUUAAGAACAGGAAGUUUGCAAGCGGUAUAUUUGUUAGUGACUUAACAGUCAAUAAGCUGUCAACCAACAAAAGGUUGUACUUCCGAUGCAUGCAUAGCCAUGAGCGCGGCUGCAGGGCGAAGAAGCAGGUGCAGCAGCAGGAUAACAGCAUCGGCAAUCCUCCAUUGUACAAGGUCACAUGCCUGAACGAGCACACAUGCCACCAAGCGUUUCCUAACGUGAACAUCACCAAUGCAAAUUUAGCCGCGACGAGCACUACGACAAGGAACGGCGCCGACUAUGAUCCCGCUCGCGGCCACCUCCACGUCGGCGGGAACGGCGAGUUAGAGGACAGAAUCAUGACCUCGACCUUCAGCACGGUCAUCGGUGGAGCUGCCCUUGCUGCUCCGUCGUUGUCGCCCGUGCCGUCGCCGCCUCCCGUGGAAGCGAGCCCGAGCGGUCCGGCGUCGUACGACACGGGUGGUGGACAAUCGCCGAGCCUGCUGGACUUGAGCAUGUGCCUGGACGAGACGAUGAUGGACGAGAUGUAUUUCUCGUGCGGUUCGCCAUUUCCUCCUGUCGAGGCAAACGCAGCUCCAUGGUCGUUGUCGUCCUUGCCGCCGCCGCCGCCGCCCAUGGAAGCGAGCUCGAUUGAUCCGGCGGCGUACAUGCCGCCCCGCUGUGGACACUCACUGAGCCUGGACGCGAUGACGAUGGCGGAGAUUUUUCUCUGGAGCAGCCCGCUAUUUUCUCCACGUUGA